rnacentral:rRNA from 1 species
UACGUAGGGGCCAAGCGUUGUCCGGAUUUAUUGGGCGUAAAGAGCUCGUAGGCGGUUGGGUAAGUCGGGUGUGAAAACUCCAGGCUCAACUUGGAGAUGCCACCCGAUACUGCUCUGACUUGAGUUCGGUAGGGGAGUGGGGAAUUCCUGGUGUAGCGGUGAAAUGCGCAGAUAUCGGGAGGAACACCGAUGGCGAAGGCAGCACUCUGGGCCGGUACUGACGCUGAGGAGCGAAAGCGUGGGGAGCGAACAGG